GAGAGGAGGGAGAGGUGGAAGAUGAACAGACACAAGGAGGACACGAAAGAAAUCGCGAAGAACACAAAAAACAACACAAAGAAAGGUGCAAAAUCACCUGAUAAAUCCGGUCACAGCAAGUUUGUAAAAUAAGGACAGCAGCUCACGGCUUUACAGCUCACGCGGCCAACGCCCCUCCUGCUGCCCAAAAAACGUUGGCUCCUCCUGCCCGCGCCUCCAGCAAUCACGUAGAGGACGCCGGGGAGCCCUAAGCGCCCUCCCGCGAGCCCAACAGAAUCCUUCCCCUGGAUAACCUUUUGUUGGGUAAACUCCAUCUGCGACCUCAUGCCUGCAUUUAUCCCACACCACACCACACCAUUCGUAAGGUGAGCCACGCUGGGCUCCCCUCCGCCCUACAACCUGAAGUAGCCUGCACGCAUGACCUGCCAUGACCUGCCUUGUUCGGACGAACGAGGCCCACACUGUCCCUCAGAUGAUAUCGCCCUGAGUCAUACACAGAAGACAUUAUGUGCCUUUUCGUGUGAAGGCACAAACCAAAUUGUGUCAAAGGUGCCAUAUGGGUGUGGCAGUUCGCGUUACCGCGUUACCAGGGGCUGUACGUGUUAGCUAUUCCACUGCGCAGCUGCGUGGAGCACUUAAUUCCGUUGUUCUGCUCCUAUCCCGCAACCGUAUCAUUCCUACGGCCGGUUCAAGUUGGCUCGCGGCUGCAGGAGCGCCCUCCUACCGCGGGGACUCUUGACC
rnacentral:lncRNA from 1 species